UACAGAGGGUGCGAGCGUUAAUCGGAAUUACUGGGCGUAAAGCGUGCGUAGACGGUUAUUUAAGUCGGGUGUGAAAGCCCCGGGCUCAACCUGGGAAUUGCAUUCGAGACUGAAUAGCUAGGGUACGGUAGAGGGAAGUGGAAUUUCCGGUGUAGCGGUGAAAUGCGUAGAUAUCGGAAGGAACAUCAGUGGCGAAAGCGACUUCCUGGACCGACAUUGACGCUGAUGAGCGAAAGCUAAGGGGAGCAAACGGGGAUUAAGAA
rnacentral:rRNA from 1 species